GUCAGUGACCACACCAUGUUGAAAAAACCAGUUGUCGUUCGAUCAUCGCAGUUGAACAACGAUAGGCCCCGCUGGUAUUUGCAUGGGUGGCUGGUUAGGAAUACUAUGUGCUGUUGGCU
rnacentral:rRNA from 1 species